rnacentral:rRNA from 1 species
AGAAUCAACGCUGGCGGCGUGCCUAACACAUGCAAGUCGCACGAGAAAAGGACUUCGGUCCUGAGUACAGUGGCGCACGGGUGAGUAACACGUGAAUCAUCUACCUUCGAGUGGGGAAUAACUGAGAGAAAUCUUAGCUAAUACCGCAUAAUACCCACGGGUCAAAGCAGCAAUGCGCUUGAAGAGGAGUUCGCGGCAGAUUAGUUAGUUGGCGGGGUAAUGGCCCACCAAGACUGUGAUCGGUA